GCCCUCGUGGAUUAUGGUUGAUCCUCUUCGCUUCUUAACCCAGUGGACGUGGCAGUUUCUGAAGACGCUGUAGGUUCGAAUCCUACCGAGGGCA